GAGUAGCAGGUGUCAGAGGAGUCGGGUGUAUGGUGGGUUCGAGCGUUAUCUGGAUUUAUUGGGUGGAAAGGGGCCGUAGGCUGAACGGUAAGUUAGUGGUGAAAGCCUACAGCUUAACUGUGGAACUGCCGUUGAGACUGGCGGACUUGAGUGUGGUUGAUGUAGCUGGAAUGAGUAGGGUAGCGGUGAAAUGCAUAGAUAUUACUCAGAACACCAAUUGCGAAGGCAGGUUACCAAGUCACAACUGACGCUGAUGGACGAAAGCGUGGGGAGCGAACAGGAUUAGAUACCCUAGUAGUC
rnacentral:rRNA from 1 species